rnacentral:snRNA from 1 species
UUUGCUUCUCGGCCUUUUGGCUAAGAUCAAGUGUAGAAUCUGUUCUUAUCAGUUUAAUAUCUGAUAUGUCCUCUAUCUGAGGACAACAUAUUAAGUAUAUUUUUGUGAGUAGGAGUUGGACUAGGAGCUGGCUCCAUCCACUCUAUGCAUCAGCCUGGUAUUGCAGUACUGCCAGGGAUGGUGCAGCCCCU